UGUUGAAACACAGGUUCCCAUACAAUCACUGAAGUUAAGCAAUGUCAAACCUAGUUAGUACCUAGGUGGGUAACUGCUUGAGAAUACCAGCUGCUGUGA